AGCGAACGCUGGCGGCAUGCCUUACACAUGCAAGUCGAACGGUAACAGGUCUUCGGAUGCUGACGAGUGGCGAACGGGUGAGUAAUACAUCGGAACGUGCCUAGUAGUGGGGGAUAACUACUCGAAAGAGUGGCUAAUACCGCAUGAGAUCUACGGAUGAAAGCAGGGGAUCGCAAGACCUUGUGCUACUAGAGCGGCCGAUGGCAGAUUAGGUAGUUGGUGGGAUAAAAGCUUACCAAGCCGACGAUCUGUAGCUGGUCUGAGAGGACGAUCAGCCACACUGGGACUGAGACACGGCCCAGACUCCUACGGGAGGCAGCAGUGGGAAUUUUGGACAAUGGGCGCAAGCCUGAUCCAGCAAUGCCGCGUGCAGGAUGAAGGCCUUCGGGUUGUAAACUGCUUUUGUACGGAACGAAAAGCCCUGGGUUAAUACCCUGGGGUCAUGACGGUACCGUAAGAAUAAGCACCGGCUAACUACGUGCCAGCCGCCGCUGUAAGAC
rnacentral:rRNA from 1 species